rnacentral:rRNA from 1 species
ACAUCCAGAGAACUUAGCAGAGAUGCUUUGGUGCCUUCGGGAACUCUGAGACAGGUGCUGCAUGGCUGUCGUCAGCUCGUGUUGUGAAAUGUUGGGUUAAGUCCCGNAACGAGCGCAACCCUUAUCCUUUGUUGCCAGCGGUUCGGCCGGGAACUCAAAGGAGACUGCCGGUGAUAAACCGGAGGAAGGUGGGGAUGACGUCAAGUCAUCAUGGCCCUUACGGCCAGGGCUACACACGUGCUACAAUGGCGCAUACAAAGAGAAGCGACCUCGCGAGAGCAAGCGGACCUCAUAAAGUGCGUCGUAGUCCGGAUUGGAGUCUGCAACUCGACUCCAUGAAGUCGGAAUCGCCAGUAAUCGUAGAUCAGAAUGCUACGGUGAAUACGUUCCCGGGCCUUGUACACACCGCCCGUCACACCAUGGGAGUGGGUUGCAAAAGAAGUAGGUAGCUUAACCUUCGGGAGGGCGCUUACCACUUUGUGAUUCAUGACUGGGGUGAAGUCGUAACAAGGUAGGCGUAGCGAG